GUGAUGUUUGAUUUCAUUUAGAUGCGGGUGGUCCGGCCUGCAACGAAACCGUAGCGCAACAACUGAGGGAAAUCGGGCAACGAAUCGGAUCACUGCUCCCGGAUCCGUGGUUUCUACCAGCACAGUCUAGUGGAGGACGCAAGAGCAAAGGAUCCCUGCUCGGCUGGGGCCUGGUGUCCGGGCUAUCCUGGUCAAGGGCAGAACUACCACCUGAUAGCUGCGGGUCGCAGCUACUCAUCAAAGUGCCUUUACAGGGACUGGCUCGCCUGGCACUACCCUUCGCUUCGACGCCAUUGUAUUUCCAGGGCGCCGCUGCCGUCAUGGCAAAUCUUACGUUCCCCGGACCCCGUGUGACGGGACUGGCCGUGGAGGAGGUGAGGCUGACAGACUUGGCCCUCAAAAAAGGAGUCAAGGAAGGAGACCGUAGCAGGCGACUUUCUCCUACAGGUAACCAGCCGUGUGGUGGCCCGAAGCAUUCGUGAACAACUGCCACGACUGCUGCUUGUGGCUCUGGCGCCACAGUCACCCCUGGUACUGGAGCGACGCUUGCUGGUGUACUGAACGCUGGCUGUGCUAUUGGUUUUACGGACAGUAGUCUACAAAUGCCAAGCAAAAUAAAAGCUUCAUCGAGAGUCGAGAGAAGAAAAAGAUGUACUUGUUACGUAAUGUGGAACUGGUGACCUCUGUGAGGCAGUAUGCUCCGUGAUUGCAUCUGUGGAUUAGAAGCACACACGAAACUCCGAAGAUUCCAAGAAAUUCAAUCCAUCGAC